rnacentral:rRNA from 1 species
UACGAAGGGGGCUAGCGUUGCUCGGAUUGACUGGGCGUAAAGGGCGCGUAGGCGGUUCGUACAGUCAGACGUGAAAUUCCUGGGCUCAACCUGGGGGCUGCGUUUGAUACGUGCGGGCUUGAGUUCGGAAGAGGGUCGUGGAAUUCCCAGUGUAGAGGCGAAAUUCGUAGAUAUUGGGAAGAACACCGGUGGCGAAGGCGGCGACGUGGUCCGAUACUGACGCUGAGGCGCGAAAGCGUGGGGAGCAAACAGG